UUCGCUUUCCGUUCCUUUUCUAUUAUUUUAAUCUCAUUCUGACCUCCAUGAGACCUCGUAUCCAAUUUCCGUGGAGUUGCCGCUCCAGGUGAAAGCCGAGGGAUCGAUCAGCGUCGCGGGGAAGCGGAGUUUGAUCUUGAGGCCGUGGGUGGUAAACUGAAAAAAGGUUCGUAUGUUAUUAGUUGAAGGCAUGGCACAUACCUACAACAAUGAAAGGAGUAUUAGUUUCGGCAGCUCCCUUCAGCCUUCAAUCAGUGAAUGCAUAAUGGGAGAAGCAGACCUGGUUGACACAGCAUCUGAAAAAUUUACCGAGGUUGGCGGUGAAGAGAGUGAUGAGGAUAUUGACAUAGAAGAACUUGAAAGGCGUAUGUGGAGGGACCGUAUGCUGUUGAAGCGUUUAAAGGAGCAGCAACAGGGCAAAAACAAGCAUCUGGGGGAUGCGGUUAAGGAAAGUCAAUGCCGGAAGAAGAUGUCGCGGGCACAGGAUGGAAUUCUCAAAUACAUGCUGAAGAUGAUGGAAGUUUGCAAAGCUCAGGGCUUUGUCUAUGGUAUAAUUCCUGAUAAAGGCAAGCUGGUCAGCGGUGCUUCUGAUAAUCUCAGGGCUUGGUGGAAAGAAAAGGUCAGGUUUGAUUGGAACGGGCCAGCUGCGAUUGAUAAAUAUCAAGCUGAGAAUGCCAUCCCUGGGUCUGGCAGAGAUUUCAGCUCUGGAACUGCUAGCUCUCACUCAUUGCAAGAGCUUCAAGACACAACACUGGGUUCUCUUCUGUCAGCUCUUAUGCAGCACUGUGAUCCGCCGCAGCGAAGGUUUCCUUUAGAAAAAGGAAUCCCACCGCCAUGGUGGCCUACUGGGAGAGAGGAAUGGUCAGCUCAACUAGUGAUCCCGAAUGAACAAGUGACACCCCCCUACAAGAAGCCACACGACCUUAAGAAGGCUUGGAAGGUCGGUGUCUUGACGGCUGUGAUCAAGCAUAUGUCCCCCGACAUUGAGAAGAUACGCAGGCUUGUUAGGCAGUCCAAAUGCUUGCAAGACAAGAUGACUGCCAAGGAGAGUGCAACAUGGCUUGCGGUUCUUAAACAAGAAGAGGAAAUGUAUAUGAAGUUGCAUCCGGAUGCAUGCCCAGCCCCAUCCUCAGGAGUCGUCGGAGGUGUUGAAGAAGGCCAUAACGGGGAUAUGGAUUACAAGGUGGCUGUUGAGACUAACACAUUCAAACUAGGGGCUAAUUCGUGUACUGCAAAUUUCGUUAAGUCGGAAGAAAGUCACAUAAUGAUGGAUCCUGAACUGGAGAUGAAUCAGAGGAUAUAUACAUGCGAAAAUGUGGCAUGCCCACAUAGUAAUGUUUACCAUGGAUUUCUUGAUAGGAAUGCUAGAAACAGUCACCAGUACUUCUGUAAGUAUCAGAACGGUAUUCCUCCCGGUGUCGGAAAGGUGAACAACCAAGUUCAGUCAGCUGAGAAUAAACCUUCAGUUUUUACUUUGCCAUCGAAUACCCAGCCCAAUCCUCCUUCGAUUGGUUCAAAUCACAAUCCAAUUGAAAUGUCUGACUUAGGUAUUCCUUCUGAUGGGCAAAAAUCAAUCAACGAGCUAAUGGACUUCUAUGAAAACAAUGUCAACAGUUGCAAGACCUUCAACUUGGGAGGUUUGGCCAUGUUAGAAGAGUCAAAUGGUCGAAACCGGAUGGAGUGCAACUUAUUUGAAUACAGCCCGGGAGUUGGCAGCGACCUCUUCGACGAAAUUGAUAGCUUGGUGGAGCAAUCACAGUACGUGCAACAAAGCAUGGUGCAUUUUCAGCCAAAACUCAGUGACCAGCCAAUCGAAGUUACCGGAUGCAUCAAACUCGCACCCGGAAUGGACUACGCCGAUGCUGUGCAUGGAUUCAACUGGUUCUAGUUAGAUGAUAAAUGACAGGAUCAUCUUGGCAGAAGCUGAGCAUAAAUAACCAACGAAUUUUGCUUAAGGUACUUUCCUAAACACAUUCACAUGUUUUCAUCAGACAUGGCAUGAUCUUCAAUGUGAUAGGGAAAUGUCCUAACACUCAAGAUACAUUGAAUGAAGGAAACGACUAAGAGGAUGGAUUUUGAUGUUUUUCGCCCUUUUCAUGGUUGGUUGAACUGAGUCUGUGUCAGUGUCAUGGAGGCUUGCUGGCAUGUGCUGUAGUAGUACGAGGAAGAAGUGGUGGUAGUUGAGAAGACUUGCUUGCGACUCGCGAUAAGUUGUUCCUUGCUUGUUCGGCUUGGCCUAUUUCAGAUUAGUUACGGUGUAUUUAUAAGGAUUUUUUUUUUACUUAUAACUAUAGGAUACUGGACUUUCUACCGUUAGAGCUUCCUAAUUCAUUCUAGACAUUAUUAUUAUUA